GGCAGCAGCCGCGGGAACACCGGCGGCCCGAGUGGUGAUCGUGAUUAUUGGGUCUAAAGGGUCCGUAGCCGGUUUGGUCAGUCCUCCGGGAAAUCUGAUAGCUCAACUAUUAGGCUUUCGGGGGAUACUGCCAGACUUGGAACCGGGAGAGGUAAGAGGUACUACAGGGGUAGGAGUGAAAUCUUGUAAUCCCUGUGGGACCACCUGUGGCGAAGGCGUCUUACCAGAACGGGUUCGACGGUGAGGGACGAAAGCUGGGGGCACGAACCGGAUUAGAUACCCGGGUAGUCCCAGCCGUAAACGAUGCUCGCUAGGUGUCAGGCAUGGCGCGACCGUGUCUGGUGCCGCAGGGAAGCCGUGAAGCGAGCCACCUGGGAAGUACGGCCGCAAGGCUGAAACUUAAAGGAAUUGGCGGGGGAGCACAACAACGGGUGGAAGCCUGCGGUUUAAUUGGACUCAACGCCGGACAACUCACCGGGGGCGACAGCAAUAUGUAGGCCAAGCUGAAGACUUUGCCUGAAUCGCUGAGGAGUGGUGCAUGG
rnacentral:rRNA from 1 species